rnacentral:lncRNA from 1 species
AAUCGAUUUAUCAUACACCAACCAUUAUAUGGUUCUUUCAUCUUUGUACCAUUAUCUUAUUAGCAAAUAAAUAAUAUGGAUGCAAAGUUAGGGGUGAAAUUCAAACCCUCAGGGUGGAGGAAAAAGUUGAUGGGUGGUGUCGCGAUGUUGAAUCAGUCUCUUCUGGGAGGCAACCCAACAUUUAGUAAGUAGUUUAUUUUUAAUUUUUAUAUGUUUUAUUGGUAUCACCAUUAUCUUUAUUUUAUUUGGUAUUUACAGAUUGAUAGUAAGUUUGAUGUACCAUAAAUCUAAGCUAAAAAGUGUGUCAAAACAUAAGUAUGGGGUUCUCCAAACCUCCUUGAUGGAUAUGCUACUAGCUAGGCCUAGAGGCCUUAGGGAGUAUCCAUAAUAUUUAUUCUUUGAUUUCUACUUUAAGGACAAAGUAUUAUUUUAAGUGUGAGGUAGGGAAUCUUCUGAUUUGUUUAGGGUGAAGUGCGCUUUAGGAUUUUCAUUUUAAUUUAUUUUCUAAUAUUUGACUAAAUUCAAAUAUUAUAAAAUAAUUUUAUAUUUGUUUAUUUUUAGUUUAUAUUAGUGUCUGCUUAGUAGAGGUAUACUUCACCCAUCCCUCAUUUUUUCUUUGCGAUUCUUUUCUAAGGGGAGACCUUUGAACCCAAUAUCCCUUUUGAUUUUUAGAAGUAAUUUUAAAAGUUUUGACAUUAGGAAUAAAUAAAGAUACUCUAGAUAGGUGAAAUAAAUGAUUACUUGUUGAAGUGGUGUUGAAUUCUAUGGCAUGAUGUGAAAAUUGAAUGACUUCUAUGUGAUAUCUAGGUUCUUUAAUCGGACACUUGUUUGAUUUUGGCUAAAAAUUAAAUUCUUCUGAUACUUUGGUUGAGAGUAUAUAGAUAUCCUUCUAGAGUUAAACAUGUGUCGUAUGUGUUGAGGUUUUUGUUAUAUUCCAUAUUCGUAUAUUGAUGUCUAGAACUUGCUCGGUGUGUUUGCAAAGCAAAAUAAAUAAUGUUGGCUUUAGGAGAUGAUAUAGGCACUUCUUUGAUAGCGCUUUUUUAUAUCCUCUUUAUCUAACCUUUUUGCAUUAUCAUAUUUAUCCCCAUUUAUCCUUUAGCCUAUUAUUUGUUAGCCUCAUUUGUAGCUUAUUCCUUUCCUAUAAAUUGACCGGACUUGACCCAAAAGUUUUAAGAUCUUGAAUUGAAAAUUUUAGAUGUCAAGGAGUGUGUAACUAAAGGAGGAAAAAUUUAUAGUGAAGCCCCAAAAUAAUAUAUAUUGGUGUGUUAGAAAAGUUCAUGUGUUUUUGGUUGGGAGUAUUAAAAUGAAAGACAAAUUAAUCUAAAGAAGUGAAUCAUGUGUUGAUAGAAAAUACUCCCUACUAAAGAUGUGUAAUCUAGCUUAAAGAGAUAGAGAAAAACAAAAUAGAGGUAUGAAGAUAAAAGUGGUAAAGAAUAGGUUGAUUAGAGAUGAGUUUAAUGCAAAGGGUGAUGCAUUAAAGUACUUAGAGAAGAUAGUCACUAUUAAUGGAUAGAAUAGCUUCGAAGCAUCCCUUAGCCUACAUUAUAAAUUGUACAGUCCUACUUGAUCUUGAGCUUUGAUAUUUUGAUAUUAAUGAAUUACUACACUAACAAAAAGCUUAUGGUUCAUCUUAUGUGACAUAUGAAUUCUUUGUGAGAGUGAGAGGAAUAUGAUUCUUACACUCAUUCUUAUUAUAAAUUGUAUAUUUAUGAGUGAAUAUGUGUGACUCUCUUAUGGUGAGGGCGCAUGUUUAAUGAUGGAAUGGGGACUUAUAUGAUCUCUUGGUUUAAUAAUAUGCAUGAGUUUUCCAACUUAGUAGAGUCAAUUCUUGUGGGUAGAAAGUCUUAAAGUAGUAUUCAUGUGGUUUCAAUUGUAAUAUGAAAUGCUUAAUAUAGGACUUGCUAUUCAUAUAGUCAUUUUAGUUCUAGAUUGAGUGUAAUAGUUCAAGUAGUGAUAUAGAGUUUUCCUUGGUUGUUCUUAGUUUAAGGAGUUGUUCAAGGACGAACAAGGCUUUACGUAUGGGUGGUGAUCUUAAGCAUAUUUUUGCACCUAAGUGUCAUUAUCUAUGAGAGUUUAUCUUAGUUUUGAGGAUAAAUUGAUGGGCUUGAUAAAGUAUAAAGUGUGUAUUUAUGUGAUAAUUUGCAUGUUUAGAGUGUUUAUGAUGUAUUUGAAACAAGUCAAGAGUUAGAAGAAUCAAAUAGAGUUUAGACGAGAAAACUAGUGAUGCUAGCAUGAGCUAUGAUUGUUUUAGUGUAUUUUGAUGAGAUCUAUGUGUUGUAUGGACUAAUGUUUUUUAUGAUUUAUUGUAUUAUACAAAUUUAGAAUACAAUGAAUCUAAAUUAACUCUACUAAUAGGACACAAGGAGUUGAAAAACAAGUAACAAGUAGACGAGAGG